CCUACGGGAGGCAGCAGUGAGGAAUAUUGGUCAAUGGACGGAACCCUGAACCAGCCAUGCCGCGUGCAGGAAGACGGCUCUAUGAGUUGUAAACUGCUUCUGCACAAGGGUAAUCCUGAAUUCGUGUCUUCAGCUGAAACUACUGUACGAAUAAGGAUCGGCUAACUCCGUGCCAGCAGCCGCGGUAAUAAGGAGGAUCCAAGCGUUAUCCGGAUUUAUUGGGUUUAAAGGGUGCGUAGGCGGAUUGAUAAGUUAGAGGUGAAAUUUCCGGGCUUAACUAGGGAACUGCCUCGAAUACUGUGGAGCUAGAGAGUAGAUGCGGUAGGCGGAAUGUAUAGUGUAGCGGUGAAAUGCGUAGAGAUCA
rnacentral:rRNA from 1 species